rnacentral:rRNA from 1 species
CUACGGGCUGCUCCAGUGAGGAAUAUUGGUCAAUGGGGGAAACCCUGAACCAGCGACGCCGCGUGUGGGAUGAAUGGGCUCUGCCCUGUAAACCACUGUUGAGAGGGAAGAAAAGCUUCUUAUGGAAGCCGGGACUGUACCUCUUCAGAAAGGAUCGGCUAACUACGUGCCAGCAGCCGCGGUAAUACGUAGGAUCCAAGCGUUGUCCGGAAUUACUGGGUGUAAAGGGUGCGUAGGCGGGCUUGUGCGUCAGGGGUUAAAUCCCACGGCUUAACCGUGGAGCUGCCCUUGAUACGGCAAGUCUUGAGUGUGAGAGAGGAUGGUAGAAUUCCUGGUGUAGCGGUGAAAUGCGUAGAUAUCAGGAGGAAUACCAGUGGCGAAGGCGGCCAUCUGGCUCACUACUGACGCUGAGGCACGAAAGCGUGGGGAGCGAACAGGAUUAGAUACCCCCGUAGUC